UGCUUACACAUGCAAGUCGAACGGCAGCGCGGGAGCAAUCCUGUGCGGCGAGUUGGCGAACGGGUGAGUAAUACAUCGGAACGUGCCCAAUCGUGGGGGAUAACGCAGCGAAAGCUGUGCUAAUACCGCAUAAGAUCUACGGAUGAAAGCAGGGGAUCGCAAGACCUUGGCGCCGAAUGGAGCGGCCGAUGGCCAGAUUAGCAUAGUUGGUGAGGUAACGGUCACCAAGUCUACGAUCAGUAACUGGUGUGAGAGCACGACCAGUCACACGGGCACUGAGACACGGGCCCAGAGUCCUACGGGAGGCAGCAGUAAGGAAUAUUAGGUCAAUGGACGCAAGUCUGAACCAGACAUGCCGCGUGGAGGAUGAAGGUCCUCUGGAUUGUAACUUCUUAGAAUAUGGGACGAAAAAAGGGUACUUUCUAGAUCA
rnacentral:rRNA from 1 species